GAUGAAGAACGUAGCGAAAUGCGAUAAGUAAUGUGAAUUGCAGAAUUCAGUGAAUCAUCGAAUCUUUGAACGCACAUUGCGCCCGCCAGUAUUCUGGCGGGCAUGCCUGUUCGAGCGUCAUUUCAACCCUCAGGCCCCUAGUGCCUGGUGUUGGGGAUCGGCCCAGCCUUCCUGUAAGGCCGCCGGCCCCGAAAUCUAGUGGCGGUCUCGCUGUAGUCCUCCUCUGCGUAGUAGCACAACCUCGCAGUUGGAACGCGGCGGUGGCCAUGCCGUUAAACACCCCACUUCUGAAAGUUGACCUCGGAUCAGGUAGGAAUACCCGCUGAACUUAAGCAUAUCAAUAAGCGGAGGA
rnacentral:misc_RNA from 1 species